CGCCAAGCAUGAUAUAUAUAGAGAGAGAGGGAGAGAGAGCCAGCCGGAAAUACCCAGACAGCCAGCAUGAGCAAGCAAGUACGAAGAUCGUUACAGUUGGAUGCCACUGACAACAAAAAGAAUGAAGCUUCGCCAGCAAGGACACUCCUCCAAUAUAAUUUAUAUUCCCCAACAACGGGAACACGCAAAAUAAGCACUCCUCCUGUGGCCAAUAAACUCAAUGCAAAAGGUCUUGAGCAAGAUAAGAG